rnacentral:lncRNA from 1 species
UCUUAUUUUCCCUCUGUCCUGAAUCCCGAAAUCCUCAGGGCCCUCCUCCGCCAGUCGGGCCACUUGUUUGACAGCAAGCCGCAGUCGCCGGUCCUGCAGCCGGGGCAGGGUGGUGGCGUCAAUCUCAGUCUAAACCUGGUGGCUUCGGGGUCGGCCUCAGCCACGCCCACCCCGAGCCAUUCCGCGAAGCGGCGCUCCACCGUCGGUGGAGCCGGUAAGCUGGCUUUCCAAUGGCAUCAUGCAGCAGCUCUAGCUCUAGCUCUCUCUCCUAUCUCACCUCACUGCGGUCCCCCAGCUCCCGGUCAUCCAUCACUAGCGCGCCCUAUCCUUCCGUGUUCAUCGCUGCUCUGUCCAUACCGGUGCAGGGUCCGGCACUCCCAGCGGAAAGCUGCAGGAUAUGUGGCUCAUGUGGGCCAACUUUGGCACAGGUAAUAACAGCAACAACAGCAGCUACAACAGCAACCUCAGCACCCCCCCGGUCCACACGCACUCGCCGGCUUCCCUUUACCACCUGCCGCCGCCGGCGCCACGCCCUGAGAUGGGUGUAGCUCAAUUCAUCAAGCUGGUCCGGGAGACGGGCCUGCUGGACAAGCAUUUCACGGCGGUGCAGGCGGAGCUAAUCUUUGUGCGCGCCAAGCCCAAGGUAGGUGGGGUGAGUGAGUGGGGGGAUGGUGACUGACUGGGUCGGGGGUCGGGGAGCGGAUGGCAGUGUAGUUGGGUGCUGUGGUGAUGGGUUAAGGUGCGCGGCUGGGCUUGGUGGGUUGGUGGCUGGAGAGGGGAGGGGAGGAGAGGAGUAGAGCGGGUUGCAGAACUGGGGCGAUUUCGCCACGGUAAGGAGCCCAGGUAUGGACUGUUAUCCAAAGGAUUCUACCAGCGGAGGAUGACGACUCUAUCCCUGGGUUUACUAAGAGGAGGCAAGAAGUAUCGCCCUGACCCUGAAUUUCUCCAGGUCGUGAACGCACAACCCUGAUAUUCCAUCUGAAGCCUUAUCUUCACCUACAUCCCUUAACAGGACUCGGCCAAGCUAAACUU